CGGAGGCCACAGCAGCUCAGGAAUGCUCUGCAUUUUUCUCAUUUCAGUAAAGUACAAAGGGCACUUCUGAAGGAGGAAGCCAAGAAAUCUCACCCUUUCAGAUUCACCCACUAAUUUCCCUUGGUUCCCAGUGGAGACAGCCUUGAGUGAGCCUGUGAGAAACCAGCAGGACCAGAAGGAUAGCGCCACUCAGCCACCCUGGGAGAAUGAGAUCUCACAGCCACACGUGGAGGAAGCGUUUUAAGGCUCCUGAUUACAGAACUUACGAGAAAGGUGCUAUUUUCACCGUCCAGCACACGCAGGAUGGAAGAACAUCUGAUGUGGAUUCAGAAAAUCUGGAUUUCUUUCCCCUGAGUCCUUCAUUCACUCUCCACGUGACCUUCAGUGAGUUAUUCGAGCUCAGUUUAGUAAAAUGGGACAAGGCAGCUUUCCUGUUCACUCACAGGGCUGCUGGGAAGGUGGAAGAUGAGAGGCGAGCGAAAGCAGCUAGACGGGGCGUCAGGAGAUGCGAUCACCAGCCACCCCGAACCAGACCAAGCCUCACCACACAGGGGAGCUACGCCUGUGACCUUUGCCUUAUUUUUAAUGCUGACAUCUCUCCAGGAGAGACAGCUCUGCUGUCGAUGUCUUGAAAUUCUUAAUACUUUCUGAACUGGGAACACUGCAUCUUCAUAUUACACUGGGCUCUGCCAAUUCUGUAGCCAGUCCUGGCUGCCGCCCCUCUUCAGCCUGGAUCCUGCAUAUCGAUUUUGUGGUGGACUCUGCAAGGAUGAGAGGUGUGUCACAGGAAAUGACCUUGCGGUGGCAGAAGAAGGUAACAGGGGAACAACCAGGGCUGUAGCAAGCAGAUUUGGGGCACAGAGAGGGAGUCCCUCUCCAGCCCUGCAUCCUUCCUUCCAAAUUUUGGGAAAGGCAGGGACUUGUCUCAGGAUUUGCAAAAGGCAAAGGGGACACUGCACUCUGGUGUUCUGCGACACAGCUGGAUGGGUGGCCACGUUUCUGAAAUGCAACAUUUCUGAGAUGAUCCUGUAAACACGAUGAUUGCCGGUUGCUCUCAAAAUGCAACAGUGUCCACUCUAUCUUCGCCUUUCCCUCUGUCAGCGCUAUCCUGAGCAUGGCCCAGGAGCGGAGGCGGAGGAGGAGUGAGCAGUUCCGGGGGCUGCAGACUGGAGGCGCCCUCCGCCAGCCCAGGGCUCUGGCCGUGAGCCUGGGCAGGCCCUCCCCGUGGGCACCGUCCCUUCCUGGAGACUGAGGGUGCCGGGAAAGAUGGCUGCUGUUCUUGUACCUGACUCAUUUCCUUAACGCAGUCCUUGAAAUCACUGUUUGUCAUUCAAGUUUGAGAAAAAGGAGCUGGUAAAUAUCUUAUUAAUUU
rnacentral:lncRNA from 1 species